GUUGAAGCGGGUCUGGAGCGGUGGAUUGUCCACGGGAUCCGGAUCGGGAGAGGGCGAGCCGCGGGGGCCGGUCGGAUCAUUCUCUGCGGAGCGGGACCGACAAGAUCCAUGCGUUAGACCUGUGGUGAGAGAUUUAUUGGAAGAAAAGCCCACAACUGGAAGCAAACCACGACUGAAGACGAGGGAACAGCAACAAGUGAACCAGCCCGAGGACGGAGAUCAUCAACUGGAGAGAACCCAUCUGACUCGGAGACUCCAGUAAUUCAGUCAGGAGAAAGUUUGGUUUCAGGCAGACGGAGGCAAAAGGAGUGAGUGGGAGCAACAGGUCAGCUGGAGCCCAGUGUGAGAUCACCCAGUUCUGUAGGAGAAACAAAAACUGUGUGUUUAAUGGUGAGGGACUGAGGUGCAGUGGGUAGGGAGGGAGGUAGAAGGUACAUUGGGUAGAAGGUGUGGGAAAAGGCUCCGAAGCAUUCAGGCUCUCAUGACCAGACUAUGUAACAGUUUCUUCCCCCAAGCUAUCAGACUCCUCAAUAGCCAGCACCUGGACUGACACCUUGCCCUAUUGUCCUGUUUAUUAUUUAUUGUAAUGCCUGCACUGUUUUUGUGCACUUUAUGCAGUCCUGUGUAGGUCUGUAGUCUGGUGUCGUUGUUGUGUUUGUUUUUUUUUUCUGCUAUGUGUUGUUUUUUUACGUACUUCAGUCUAGUUUUUGUAAUUAACACCAUGGUCCUGAAAAACGUUGUCUCAUUUUUACUAUGUACUGUACCAGCAGUUAUGGUCGCAAUGACAAUAAAAGUGACUUGUCUUGACAUUGUAUUUAUUGUAAGAGUUAUUAGGUAUAAGAGUGAAAAUGACUUUAACGAUUAUUUGGACUUUGUUGAGAUUGUACCUGGAAUAUGGUGUAAAAUCCCGCUCCCCAUACUAACACGGGUUAUACAGACCAAAGAACAAACUGCCGGAGGAACUCAGUGGGUCGGGCAGCAUCUGUGGAGGGAAAUGG